CGGUCGGCAGGCGAUCCGCGUCGUUCAUAUUGGGUGGUAUGGUUCCCCAGAGGCCGGUUCUUGUGCUGCCUACCCCUUCAGGGGAAGCGCGCCACUUGAUGUAAGCCUCCAUCCGGCGCCCUCCAACGGGCGCAGGAGGACAACGGAGCACCCCCCGCGUUCCACCGGGCCUUAGCCGGUCGCGUGGCGCGCGGGGACGUGCGAUGCUCUCGGACCCAGCGAACGCCGUGGGCGAGGACUCACGUCCCAGUCCCGAUAGAAGCUCCGAUAUAAUGCAUGACGUCCGUUCCCGACCCCCGACCGCCCCGGCGGUGAGGGGGCGAGGCGCGGCGUCGCGGAGGGAUGCUACC
rnacentral:misc_RNA from 1 species